rnacentral:rRNA from 1 species
UACGGGGGGGGCAAGCGUUGUUCGGAAUUACUGGGCGUAAAGGGCUCGUAGGCGGCCAACUAAGUCAGACGUGAAAUCCCUCGGCUCAACUGAGGAAGUGCGCCCGAAACUGCUUUGCUUGAGUGUCGGAGAGGAUGGCGGAAUUCCCCAAGUAGAGGUGAAAUUCGUAGAUAUGGGGAGGAACACCGGUGGCGAAGGCGGCCAUCUGGACGACAACUGACGCUGAGACGCGAAAGCGUGGGUAGCAAACAGG